rnacentral:rRNA from 1 species
UACGGAGGGGGCUAGCGUUAUUCGGAAUUAUUGGGCGUAAAGGGCGCGUAGGCGGCCCGGUAAGUCAAAGGUGAAAUCCCUCGGCUCAACUGAGGAACUGCCUUUGAAACUGUCGGGCUUGAGGCCGGGAGGGGGUAGCGGAAUUCCCAGUGUAGCGGUGAAAUGCGUAGAUAUUGGGAGGAACACCAGUGGCGAAGGCGGCUACCUGGACCGGUUCUGACGCUGAGUGCGCGAAAGCGUGGGGAGCAAACAGG